rnacentral:sRNA from 1 species
AUAACAUUAAAAUGGAAAAAUAAGCAAAAACACGUUAUAAAGUUAAAUAGUCCCUCGUUGCAUGCGGGGCACACACUGAACGUUGGCGUUUUCCCUUGCCAAAAGAAGUUUAGGUAGCUGAAUCUAACGGAUCGUUAUGGGGUAGAACUAUUUUAGUGAGUAGUCAUGAAUGUGGUGAUGAUCUACAUGAUACGCUGCUUUAUCUAAAAACCUACUUUUAUGGAGCUAGAACUUGAAGAUCUAAUCGAUAUUUCCGGCGGCCGCUUUUCCUUGUGGUUGGGACGGCAGCUGGACAUAGUGCUACUUAUGGAUUUAUUCCUCAUCCUGUGGAGUAAAUGCUGCCAAAUGUGUCAUCAAGUAUUGUUCAAUAAUUGAUGGUCUGAAGUGCAAUGUUGCAAAUUUGGCCACGAACACUCCAUUGAGUGCUGUGGCCUCUUUUUAAUAUCCGACUCCAAACGGUGGCCACUUAGCGACAUCUCUAUACAUAUGGGUCUAAGAAUAUUAAAUAUGAACCACAUAUUUUGAUACCUAUGUAUGUAAACCAAUUCUAGAUUUCUCAUCUUUUUUUGUCAAUAAAAUUGAAAAAAUUA